AGUUCGGGUUUCUCUUCAGUCAAGCAUAAAUCUUUUGCGUUUUACUAAAGAUUUCUGUGGAGUUUGACAUAUCAAUGAGUUUGACAUAUUUUUCGGGGCGGUGGAAGCUC